rnacentral:rRNA from 1 species
UACAGAGGGUGCGAGCGUUAAUCGGAAUUACUGGGCGUAAAGCGCGCGUAGGCGGCUUUUCAAGUCGAUUGUGAAAUCCCCGGGCUUAACCUGGGAACUGCAGUCGAGACUGUCUAGCUAGAGUAUGGGAGAGGGAAGUGGAAUUUCAGGUGUAGCGGUGAAAUGCGUAGAUAUCUGAAGGAACAUCAGUGGCGAAAGCGACUUCCUGGACCAAUACUGACGCUCAUGUGCGAAAGCGUGGGGGAGCAAACAGG